rnacentral:lncRNA from 1 species
CCCUGAUUUCCACCUCUGAAAUUGUGCUCGGGAAAUGCAAAAUGUGAGGUGGGAAAACUCCCCCUUUUCCUGCCUCAAAUUUCCUGAUUUUACCCUCCGAGAUUGUGCUCGGGAUACGCAAGGUGUGAGGUGGGAAAAGCGCCCCCAUCCUGCCUUGGAUUUCCUGAUUUUAUCCCGAUUUCAGCCCGAUUUUCACCUCUGAAAUUGUGCUCGGGAUGCACGAGACGUGAGGUGGGAAAACUCCCCCUUGCUGCCUCAAAUUUCCUGAUUUUACCCCGAUUUUCACCUCCGAGAUUGUGCUCGGGGUACACAAGAUAUGAGGUGGGGAAAAGCGCCCCCUUUUGCUGCCUCGGAUUUCCUGAUUUUACCCCGAUUUUCACCUCUGAAAUUGUGCUCGGGUACACGAGAUGUGAGGUGGGAAAACGCCCCCUUUUCCUGCCUCAAAUUUCCUGAUUUCACCCCGAUUUUACCCCGAUUUUACCCUCCGAGAUUGUGCUCGGGAUACGCAAGGUGUGAGGUGGGAAAAGCGCCCCCUUGCUGCCUUGGAUUUCCUGAUUUUAUCCCAAUUUUACCCCGAUUUUCACCUCUGAAAUUGUGCUCGGGUACACGAGAUGUGAGGUGGGAAAAGCGCCCCCUUGCUGCCUCAAAUUUCCUGAUUUCACCCCGAUUUUACCCCGAUUUCCACCUCUGA